rnacentral:rRNA from 1 species
CCUACGGGAGGCAGCAGUGGGGAAUAUUGCGCAAUGGGCGAAAGCCUGACGCAGCGACGCCGCGUGAGGGAUGAAGGUCUUCGGAUCGUAAACCUCUGUCAGCAGGGAAGAACGGUCACUGUGCUAAUCAGCAGUGAAUUGACGGUACCUGCAAAGGAAGCACCGGCUAACUCCGUGCCAGCAGCCGCGGUAAUACGGAGGGUGCGAGCGUUAAUCGGAAUUACUGGGCGUAAAGCGCUCGUAGGCGGGAUGUCAAGUCCAGGGUGAAAUCCCCGCGCUCAACGUGGGAACUGCCUUUGAAACUGGCAAACUGGAGUGUGUGAGAGGAUAGUGGAAUUCCAGGUGUAGGAGUGAAAUGCGUAGAUAUCUGGAGGAACAUCAGUGGCGAAGGCGACUAUCUGGCACAUAACUGACGCUGAGGAGCGAAAGCGUGGGUAGCAAACAGGAUUAGAUACCCUGGUAGUC